CAGAUUGUUUUAAAAACAGAUCACAUAAAUGACAGCUCAGCGACAGACUCUUAAUGCUUUUAAACGGCACAUAUUCCAGCUCAACAGAAAAUUAAACCGACACACGGCGCGAUAAAAGUGCAGGAAUCGAGAAUAUGUUUGGACCGUAGAGUGUGGACAGACUUUGACUGUAAUGAUAGACAUCUGCUCAAGGACAGUUUUUCUGCAGCACAUUAAUCAGAGGCUGAAACACAGAAACAGAUUGAUGGCCAUAACCUCGACUUCAACAGCAUAUGGGAUGUGUUUGGACAGAAGCAGAGCUCUGGGACGUGUGGACAGACUUUGACUGUAAUGAUAGACGUCUGCUCAAGGACAGAAGCAUAACCACUGCUGGACAUCGCUCUGGGACUCAGGGGGGGACCCGAAUCAUCCUCACCCCUUCAUUCACACAACACUCACUCAUAUCGCAGAGAUCUGGCUGGGAUUGAACCAGCAACCUCUGAACUGUGAGGCAGCGCGCUCACCUGUGAGCCACAGAUCUCUUGCUUGAGCUUGUGCUGGAACUUAUAUUUCACUAUUCACCUGUAUGUGAUUUUACAAUAAACCAGUUAAAGCAUUCAGUUGGGUGAUUGUUGUCUGAUGUGGGAUUUGAACUCAUUCCUCCAUCACAGCC